rnacentral:rRNA from 1 species
AUUGAACGCUAGCGGCAGGCCUAACACAUGCAAGUCGAACGAAUGGCGGACGGGUGAGUAAUGUCUGGGAAACUGCCUGAUAGAGGGGGAUAACUACUGGAAACGGUAGCUAAUACCGCAUACAAUCGGAUUUGACCAGAUGGGAUAAGCGAGUAGUGGGGGUAACGGCUCACGUAGGCGACGAUCCCUAGCUGGUCUGAGAGGAUGACCAGCGAAACUGGAACUAAGAUACGGUCCAGACUCCUACGGUAGGCAGCAGUGGGGAAUAUGUCACAAUGGGCUCAAGCCUGAUGCAGCCAUGCCGCGUGUCUGAAGAAGGCCUGCGGGUUGUAAAGUACUUUCUGCGGGGAGGCGUUACCCGAAGAAGAAGCACUGGCUAACUCCGUGCCAGCAGCCGCGGUAAUAC